CCUACGGGUGGCUGCAGUGAGGAAUAUUGCUCAAUGGACGGAAGUCUGCACCAGCCAUGCCGCGUGCAGGAAGACGGCUCUAUGAGUUGUAAACUUCUUUUGUACAAGGGUAAACCUGAAUACGUGUAUUCAGAUGAAAGUACUGUACGAAUAAGGAUCGGCUAACUACGUUCCAGCAGCCGCGGUAAGACGGAGGAACCAAGCAUUAUCCGGAUUUAUUGGGUUUAAAGGGUGCGUAGGGGGGUUGAUAAGUUAGGUGUGAAAUGUCCGAGCUGAACUCGGAAACUGCAUUUAAUACUGUUGAUCUAGAGAGUAGAUGCGGUAGGCGGAAUGUAUGGUGUAGCGGUGAAAUGCUUAGAGAUCAUACAGAACACCGAUUGCGAAGGCAGCUUACCAAUCUAUAUCUGACGUUGAGGCACGAAAGCGUGGGGAGCAAACAGGAUUAGAUACCCGUGUAGUC
rnacentral:rRNA from 1 species